rnacentral:rRNA from 1 species
UACAGAGGUCUCAAGCGUUGUUCGGAAUUACUGGGCGUAAAGCGCACGUAGGCGGCUUGGUAAGUCGGGUGUGAAACCUCCAGGCUCAACCUGGAGACGCCACUCGAUACUGCCAUGGCUAGAGUCCGGUAGGGGCCCACGGAAUUCCUGGUGUAACGGUGAAAUGCGCAGAUAUCAGGAGGAACACCGGUGGCGAAGGCGGUGGGCUGGGCCGGAACUGACGCUGAGGAGCGAAAGCGUGGGGAGCGAACAGG